UCUGACUCAUGGGACUAUGGAGACAAAGGUGAUGUAGAAGGGCAUGCCCUCAAGCCAAGGGCUGAAGUUUCUCUUUUUUUCUUCACCAACAAUGAAAUGGGGAAGGAAACAGGGAUGAAGAACUUCAACCCUGAUCAGUGUUGAUGCUUCUAAAUCCUCUUGUCGCUGUGCUAACUCCAAAGAUCACAUCUGCAUGAGCAUGAUGCCCCCAGUUCAGACAGAUGCACAGACUUCAGGAGAGGGAGAAUUAACGCACAGUUUCUCCAGUGUCUGAAGAAAGAUGAUGCUCAGCUGGUGCACAGAUAGCAUUCCUCUCUUCUUACCUACUUCCAUGAACAUGCAGAAAGAUAACAUACAAGAGACCUUGUGUGUGUCUUGCACUGGCUGGAGGUUCAGAAUAAUGAAGGCAGGAACUGCACAA